rnacentral:rRNA from 1 species
UACAGAGGUCUCAAGCGUUGUUCGGAUUCAUUGGGCGUAAAGGGUGCGUAGGUGGCGCCGUAAGUCGGAUGUGAAAUUUCGGAGCUUAACUCCGAAACUGCAUUCGAUACUGCGGUGCUUGAGGACUGGAGAGGAGACUGGAAUUCAUGGUGUAGCAGUGAAAUGCGUAGAGAUCAUGAGGAAGACCAGUGGCGAAGGCGGGUCUCUGGGCCGAUACUGACGCUGAGGAGCGAAAGCGUGGGGAGCAAACAGG